AACUCCGCCGUGUCGUGCUGGAUGAGAACCUGUGCAGGUUCGACAAAAUUGGCCCGACAAUUUUGAACAGCGCUUGCGCUGGCCCGCAGGGUGAGGCCAGAGGCCGAGUUACUCCUGCACGACCCACCA
rnacentral:sRNA from 1 species